rnacentral:tRNA from 1 species
GAGGGUAUAGCUCAAGUGGUAGAGUACAUGCUUAGCAUACAUGAGGUCCUGGGUUCAAUCCCCAGUACCUCCU